rnacentral:rRNA from 1 species
GGAGGCAGCAGUGGGGAAUAUUGCACAAUGGGGGAAACCCUGAUGCAGCGACGCAGCGUGCGGGAUGACGGCCUUCGGGUUGUAAACCGCUUUCAGCAGGGAAGAAGCCGUAAGGUGACGGUACCUGCAGAAGAAGUACCGGCUAACUACGUGCCAGCAGCCGCGGUAAUACGUAGGGUACGAGCGUUGUCCGGAAUUAUUGGGCGUAAAGAGCUCGUAGGUGGUUGGUCACGUCUGCUGUGGAAACGCAGUGCUUAACGUUGCGCGUGCAGUGGGUACGGGCUGACUAGAGUGCAGUAGGGGAGUCUGGAAUUCCUGGUGUAGCGGUGAAAUGCGCAGAUAUCAGGAGGAACACCGGUGGCGAAGGCGGGACUCUGGGCUGUAACUGACACUGAGGAGCGAAAGCAUGGGGAGCGAACAGGAUUAGAUACCCUGGUAGUCCAUGCCGUAAACGUUGGGCACUAGGUGUGGGGGACAUUCCACGUUCUCCGCGCCGUAGCUAACGCAUUAAGUGCCCCGCCUGGGGAGUACGGUCGCAAGGCUAAAACUCAAAGGAAUUGACGGGGGCCCGCACAAGCGGCGGAGCAUGCGGAUUAAUUCGAUGCAACGCGAAGAACCUUACCAAGGCUUGACAUACACUGGACCGUUCUGGAAACAGUUCUUCUCUUUGGAGCUGGUGUACAGGUGGUGCAUGGUUGUCGUCA